UCCUUGUACUGAUUUUUGUCUGAAUAAUCUGUUUCCUCUCAUUUACAGGCGGUUGGAAAAUGAACCAACAUGAUGAAGCUGUGGCUGAUCUGAAGAAUGAUAAUGAAAAAUCACAGAACGAAACUGAGAAACUCAGCAGCCAAGUGGAGAAACUCGAUGAAAAAUUACAGGAAGAAACUAAGAACCUCAGCAGCCAAGUGGAAAACCUCAAUGAAAAAUCACAGAAAGGAAUUGAGAACCUGAACCAGACAAUCCAGUUAAUGCAGAAAUUCAAAAGCUUCCUGUUCAAUGAGAACUGCACCAGCAAAGAGUGUCUGCUGUGUAAAAAGGGUUGGAUCUUCUUCAGUGGAUCGUUUUACUUUUUCAGUAAUGUUUCUUUGACCUGAAAUGAAAGUCGUCAGUUCUGUCAGAAUAAAUCUGCUGAUCUGGUUGUUAUUGAUGAUCUGCAGGAACAGACAUUCAUUCAUGACAACAUAAAGACAGACUCCUGGUUGGGGCUACGGAAAGUUGGGAGCAACUGGGUUUGGGUUGAUGGUCGUAUCGACACACUUAGGUAAGAGAUUUCACACA